UACGAAGGGGGCUAGCGUUGCUCGGAAUCACUGGGCGUAAAGGGUGCGUAGGCGGGUUUUUAAGUCAGAGGUGAAAUCCUGGAGCUCAACUCCAGGACUGCCUUUGAUACUGGAGAGCUUGAGUCCGGAAGAGGUGAGUGGAACUCCGAGUGUAGAGGUGAAAUUCGUAGAUAUUCGGAAGAACACCAGUGGCGAAGGCGGCUCACUGGUCCGGUACUGACGCUGAGGUGCGAAAGCGUGGGGAGCAAACAGG
rnacentral:rRNA from 1 species